CAGCAGCCGCGGGAAUACGUAGGGUGCAAGCGUUAAUCGGAAUUACUGGGCGUAAAGCGUGCGCAGGCGGUGUUGUAAGACUGAUGUGAAAUCCCCGGGCUCAACCUGGGAACUGCAUUGGUGACUGCAACGCUGGAGUGCGGCAGAGGGGGAUGGAAUUCCGCGUGUAGCAGUGAAAUGCGUAGAUAUGCGGAGGAACACCGAUGGCGAAGGCAAUCCCCUGGGCCUGCACUGACGCUCAUGCACGAAAGCGUGGGGAGCAAACAGGAUUAGAUACCCGGGUAGUCCCUGUCUCUUAUAC
rnacentral:rRNA from 1 species